UGAGGAAUAUUGGGCAAUGCCCGCAAGGGUGACCCAGCAACGCCGCGUGGAGGAUGAAUGUCGUAAGAUUGUAAACUCCUGUUAGAGGGGAAGAAUAGUACCGGUUGGACCGGUAUGUGACUGUACCCUCAGAGAAAGCCCCGGCUAACUACGUGCCAGCAGCCGCGGUAAUACGAAGGGUGCAAGCGUUACUCGGAAUUACUGGGCGUAAAGCGUGCGUAGGCGGUCUGUUAAGUCUGCUGUGAAAUCCCCGGGCUCAACCUGGGAAUGGCAGUGGAAACUGGCGGGCUAGAGUACGGUAGAGGAUGGUGGAAUUCCCGGUGUAGCGGUGAAAUGCGUAGAGAUCGGGAGGAACACCAGUGGCGAAGGCGGCCAUCUGGACCAGUACUGACGCUGAGGCACGAAAGCGUGGGGAGCAAACA
rnacentral:rRNA from 1 species